rnacentral:rRNA from 1 species
CAAAGAUUAAGCCAUGCAUGUCUAAGUACAUGCCGAAAACGAAAAGGCGAAACCGCGAAUGGCUCAUUAAAUCAGUCGUGGUUCCUUGGACCGUACCUCACUACUUGGACAACUGUGGCAAUUCUAGAGCUAAUACAUGCAGCAGAGCUCCGACCCGCACCGGGGCCGGCCCCCCCGCGGGGUCUCCCGGCCGCGGGGACGAGCGCUUUUAUUAGACCAAGACCGACGGCGGGCCCCCAACCCGGGUCCGUCCGAACCUCGGUGGUGACUCUGUAUAACUUUGGGCUGAUCGCACGGGCUCGUCCCGGCGACGUAUCUUUCAAGCGUCUGCCUUAUCAACUUUCGACGGUAGGUCACGCGCCUACCGUGGUCGUAACGGGUGACGGGGAAUCAGGGUUCGAUUCCGGAGAGGGAGCCUGAGAAACGGCUACCACAUCCAAGGAAGGCAGCAGGCGCGCAAAUUACCCACUCCCGGCACGGGGAGGUAGUGACGAAAAAUAACGAUACGGGACUCUUUCGAGACCCCGUAAUCGGAAUGAGCGCGACCCAAAUCCUCCAGCGAGGAUCCAUUGGAGGGCAAGUCUGGUGCCAGCAGCUGCGGUAAUUCCAGCUCCAAUAGCGUAUAUUAAAGUUGUUGCGGUUAAAAAGCUCGUAGUUGGAUCUCAGUUCCGGGGCAGGGCGGUCCUCCCGCCGCGGAGGCCGCCGCCCGCCCCGAACAGCCGGCCGGUUUCCCCCGAUGAUCUUCACCGGUUGUCCCGGGUGACCGGCGAGUUUACUUUGAAAAAAUUAGAGUGCUCAGAGCAGGCCGAGACACGCCUGGAUAAUGGUGCAUGGAAUAAUGGAACAGGACCUCGGUUCUAUUCUGUCGGUCUGCGGAACGACGAGGUAAUGAUUGAGAGGGACAGACGGGGGCAUUCGUAUUGCGACGCUAGAGGUGAAAUUCUUGGACCGU